AAAUAAAAACGCCCUGGAAGAUAAGUGUAAUGCAUUGAGGUCUGUGAAAGCCACAAAGGAAGCAAAAGUCAAACAUCUGAAGGAGAAAGCACAUAACCUGGAAGAAUUCUAUGAACAAAGAAAAGUGCCUACAAAAAAGCAACAAAUUGAACAAACAUGGGAACGGCUGCAGCAGGCAGAGUUCACCUUUAGAUACCAGCUUGCAGUUCAUGAGAAGAAUGCUCAGGACAACUAGGGAUGACGCCUGCCCUGUUUGUUGUCUAGUAGACGACGUGGUGUUGCAACUCUUAUAGAAGUCCAUUAUUUUUCUGUAUCCAAGACUGGAUGGGAUGGAAGCAAAGAGGCUGCCUGAGGGAUACACGAGGCAGAAACCAAUCACUGCAAGAACCCUCCAAGGAGAGGGCAGUCUGGAUCCUGGGGACCUCCUCCGUUAACUGGACGAUUCUGCAUGCCUUACCCUGGAGACACCCCGCCCCCAUGGACUAUUAGGCACGUCCACCUCCUGAACCUUAGUGGCCCUGAGGCCACCCGGAACCCCUCCACCUGCAACACUUGAUGCAAAACCUUUACUGCCGAGUCUACGGGCUUCCCUGUUUCCCAGAUGGCAUCUGUUUGUGGUAACUUGAGCAGCUAAGCGUGCCUAAAGGCUAUUUUGUAUGCAAGAGUCCUGGUCCUUUCCCAGGAUUGCCUUGCAGGCUGUACCCCAUGGACCACCCUUCACCACCAGUCAUGGGCUAUAGGCCACAUCCCCCUCCUCCACCUACUCUAUUUGUUAAGAUGACCUGAACUGGACGAGUGGCUGGUAAAGUAUAUUCAUCUUCUUCAUGAUUGACUUUGUGGCAAUGAUGUAGAGACAGUUGUGAGUCUUGGCAAUCCAACUACAAACUGCCUGAGGACACUGUAGCAUGUCUCAAGUUUCUCAGGACAUACAUACAAUGGGCAGUGUCAUGUCCCUGUAAUACAGUGAGCUAUACGUUUCUCUUGUCAAAUGAAAGAGGAUUUUUUACACAAAAGCAGAUGUAUCAGCGGUACUGGUGCGUAUGUUGGAGACACAAUGUUUUGGGUUCUGUGAUGAAUUAGGUGCACCCCUAACUUUUAGAGCAUCAGGUGUCCUGUGUGAAAGAGGGACAUUCAUUAAACGAUGCAGACCUUGUGAUCACCAACAUGGAAACACCAGUGAGGAUUCAGGGCAAAACCGGGGGAGCCUUGAAUCAUACAGGAAUAGAAGGGAAGUUGAGCACAAUAAGCAGAGUUUGAGGAGGUGCAGAGGGGAGGGUGUUGGGGUCAGUGAGAUGCAGUUGGAGGUCAUUCCUGGUCACAGCCUGAGCAGGGAGUGUGAGGUCCAUACGGAGCUGCUAUGUGGGAUCGCUCUCAGUGCACAAUGCAGCAUUCAUCUCCAAAAUGUCAGUGUGUUGCCAAAGUGCACGCAGGUAAUCACCUAAAAAGAUUCUUGUCUCCCUGGAUUUUCCUGAAGGUUCUGGAUAUUUGUGGGGGGAAAAGAGCCCUGGAGAUAUGGGACAUUUAACUUGGUCUUAUGAAAAUGCUGUAUGCCCAAGUUCAUAUCCCUCCGUGAGGGUAAAAGUGGAGACAGGGUCUAGAUCAGCUGAGUCAUCCUACAAUUCAGGGCUGGCCAGAUGCCACCACUGCUGAACCCCUGUCAUCACCCUGACUACAGCUUUGCAUCUCCUCAAACCUCUCUCACAAUAUUAUGAUGCUUUGCCUGUGUUCCUGCUGUCUCAGCCCUAAUACCAGUUCUCAGUGGGACCUACACAGAGCCUCAGCUGUGUUAUCUGGGAAAACAGGGGUAAUAUUUGUUUCUAAGAACAAGAGAAAAAGAAGACAUUCAGUGCAUAAAGCGUCUGCAAAAUCUCUGAGAAGUGUCCCCUCACGCUUCUCACAGUUUCAAUUAAGAUAUCUCCACACAAUGAUCCUCCAAAAAAGAUGGUCAUGGGAGUUCAUUAAACUAAGACUGUUAACAACUCAGCCCAGGGUGGGAAUCACUGUUUUAAAAAAUAAGACAAUGUCCCUCGUUUUUCUAUUAGAAUUCGGGCCCUGCCACACAAUGAAAGAAAAGAUAAUUAUGAGAAUGUAUACAUUCAGAGACCUAGAUCUGAAGACAAUCAUUUUCUAUUACACCUAAUCUCACAGAUGCAGCCACACACUAAAGUGUUCAUCUGAGGCCACAGCCACAGAUAAACUACAGAAGACAGAAUGCAUGUAGAAAAACAUAAGAUCACAGGGGAAUAAACCAAAAUCUCUUUGCCUUAUAGGACAACUCUUGAAAUUUGAACAGGACUGUGCACGGUGACAGACUAUGGUGAUUAUAUAUACAUUUUAAGAAGGUGUCAGAUCUACCUAAAUGCUUUCCCUGCCCAUCCUGUCCCCUCCACUUUGUCCUUCCCACUGUCCCCUAAUCUACCUUUCAUCGUUUUGUCUCUGUGUCAGCGUCUGCUUCUAGGGCCAUCUACUCUCACUCCCCAUCGAGUGCACACAGUGGGAUUCCUGUACACACAGGUAACAAAGUGCCAGAAAUGGUGGUGAUGGAGGAUAGAAGCAAGAUCACCCUUUCUGCAGGGGAGCCUGAGGGAGUUUUCCGGGGUGAUGGGAACUUCCUGUAUCUACAUUGAUGGGGUGCUUAUGCUCAAUUAUUUUGGAAAUAUUCCCUGAGUCCAUGGUGCCUUGGGGUCAGACAGACAGGUAUCUGUCCUUAGGAAAUGGCUAAGUUCUAAUGGUGGAGAAGGAUGAGGGACCAGCAGUGACUGUAGAGAGGAGUGAGGGUCAGACCCUAACCCAGGAUGCCAGGUCUCCACAGAGAGCACCACGUGUAGGAGGACUCUGAAGAGCAGAGAUUUCUUGAUCAGACCCAUGAACUACAUAAUCCUCCUGUAGUUUCCUCACUGAGCGAUGGCCAGAGCAGAGGCCAGCAGCUGGAGGACACCCUGAUCAUGGCUGGAGUGGAGCAGUGGGCCUGGGGGAUUGAGUCAGGGAAAGGGACAGGCAGAAGGUAGUGUGACAGGGUGUUUGAGAGACAAACGGAAGAGAAGGGACCCUUCUCUGCUGACUUCACCUACAUUUCUGUGUGACCAAAAUGAGACACUUGUCUCCCAGGGAAGGGAAGAUGGCUGGCAAAAAGACAGAGUGAUAUACUCAGCUCAAGUGCCCAGGGUAUCUGCCUUGCUCUUGAGUACCUAACACAGGAAGCACGUGCUUUCUGUCAUGAUUGGAACUGCAGCUCAUACCAUUUAGUGAAAAUCAAUCCAAUUAUGCAUCCCUCAGCAUUAAAGUACUCCAACAAAAUUAAGUGAACAGACUGAAAGAUACAACACAGGAUAAAGUCCAAAGGUAGAAUGACUGCAACCUUUCAGGAAUAAAGUCUAUCAGAAAAGAAGGUAGGUACCCUAGUGCAGGCCUUCAGACACCUGGGCAAUAUCUGAAAACGUAAAAAAAAAAGUCCUUACUUCAAAAGCAACAUUAGCGCUAGACACAAAGGGAUCAUGAUUUAAGGUUUAGAGAGCAACCAUAUGACUUCAUGGUGCUGUAUCCAUGAGAUCAAGUCUCAUCAAAUUAUACCCUUUAAUUUGAGGUUCUUUGUUAUAUGUAAAUUAUACCUCAUUAAAGAAAGUUUCAAAGCACAAAAUACUAGAAGCAAAUGUGGGAACAUUCCUUUCAAAUCCUGAAGUGCAUGGGUGAGAUGAGUCUGUCUGCCCAUGUCUCAAAAAUCCAAAAUAAUAAGGCAUUUAAAAAUUAAUAGCAGACUAAGCAGACCCUGAGCCCACCCUGUACCAUGUUUUCAACUACAUAACUUCCACAUCCAAGUCCAUGAACCAGAGAGGGAUCCAAGAAUGGCACAACAAACUCCACACCUAAAUAGAAGCUGCAUCAGGAAGGUUAGGAAGGUCAGAAAGUUGGAGGCUGGCUGCCUGCAGAAGGAGCAGAGAAAGUGAGCCCUCGCACCAAGGGGCCGACACAGGGAAGACUAAUCUCCAUAACAUUUGGCAUUAAAACCCAAGGGGGCUGAAUUCCCUUGAGUUUAGAUCCUGGCGCUUUGGAGGUCAGCUGACCCAGCACUGGGUGAUCCAGGAGGAUGAGUGAUAGCCAGGUCCCUGCCUGUGUAGAGAGGCAAUGUAAACAUGGCAUUUUACACAAUGCCCAGGCCACAGGAGACACAUGUAUUCAUUCUGAUUCUUGAUUCUUGACUCAGCUGGCCUGCCUGGGUCCCACUGACACCACUGAGAACAAGCACAGCCCACAACAGGCACGCAAUCAGUGCGGACCCCUGCACUGAAAGGAAAAGUAACCCAGACACAACAGCAGGGAGUGAGCAAUACCCAUACGAUAGCCUCCUGAAGGUCCAGGUCCUAUAAAUGGAGACAUGCCCUGCUGAGGACUCCAGGACCUCUUCUUCAUAACGGCAUUAAUUUCAAGAUCAGAAGGCACAGCUGACUUUCUUAACACAGAGAAAUAGAGCCAGAGAGACAAACAAAAUGGACACACAGAGAUGUUUAUCUACAAUGAAAGACCUACUCAAAGCCACAGCCAGAGAUCUAAGCCAAAGAGAUAUAAGUAACAUACCUGAUACAGAAUUUCAAGCAAUGAUCAUAAGGAUACUCAUUGGAGUUGAGAAAUGAGUAGAAGAGUGAGACCCCUGACAUAGAUAAGAUACAACACAGACACUGAGGACACAAUAAAGGAGAAACAUGCUUGCUGGAAUGAACAGAGUGAUGGAAGAAGCAGCGGAACAAACUAGUGACCUCGAAGACUGAGUGACAGAAAUUAAUCACACUAAACCAAAGAGAGAGAACAGAAUUCUGCAACGUGAGAUGAGACGAAGGGAACUCAGUGACUACAGGAAAGAUAAUAGGAUUCAUGUUGUAGGAGUCCCAGAAGGAAGAGAGAAUGGGGAAGAAAAUUUGAGGAAAUAAUAGCUGAAAACAUCCCUAAUUGGGGGAGGGAAACAAACAUCCACAUCCGGGAGACUAGAGAAUUCCCAUCAAAAUCAACAAAUAAGGCCAACACACAAACCUACUGUAAACAAACUUACAAAUUAGGGUGAGAAUAAAGAAAAACUCGUAAAAGCAGCAAAACAGUCCUUAACUUAGAAGGGAAGACCCAUGAGGCUAGCUACAUAUUUCUGAACAGAAACUUGGCAAGCCAGAAGUGAGUGACAUCACAUAUUCAAAGUGCUGAAUGGAAAAAUCAGCGGCCAAGAAUAUUCUAUUCAGCAAGGCUAUCUUUCAGGAUGAAGGAGACACAGACUUUCCCAAACAAAAACUAAAGGAGUUUGUACCACUAAACCAGUCCUGCAAGAAAUAUUAAGAGGGAUUCUUUGAAUGGAAAGGAGAGACCAACAGUGACAGUAUAGAGGUAGAAGACACAAUUCAAGUAAAAAAUGAACAUUUCUGGAAAAAAAAUCUAUUAAAGAAAUCAGAGAAAUGGAUUUGAACUAUAAUAACAUCUACCAAAAACCUAGGGAGGAGAAAGUAAUGGGUUCAAAGGUAAAUGACCAUCAACUUAAUACAAACUGCUAAAUGCAGAAGAGGUUAUAUAAACACCUAACAGUAGCCAUAUACUAAAACCAGUCAUAAAUAUGCUAAGAAUAGAGAUAAAGAAAUCAAAAUAUAUCACUAAAGAAAAUAAGCAAUACAUGAAAGAAAGGCAAGAAAGGAUCAGAGAAAAUCAUUAGAAACUACAACAAAACAGGCAAUAAAAUGGCAAUACAUAUCAAUCAAUUUUGAGGGAAAUGGAGUGAAUGCUCCAAUCUAGAGAUGUAGGGAGUAAGAAUGGAUGAAAAAACAAAGCAGAUUCAGCAUCCUACAAGUGACCCACUUUACACCUCAAGAAUAAUAGUGAGGAUAGAGAAACAUCACACAAAUGAAUGUCAAAAGAAAGCUGGAGUAACCAUACUUGUAUCAGAAAAAAUACACUUAAAAAAAGUACAUAACAAGAGACAGGGGAGGACAGUAUAUAACAGCAAAUGGUACAAUCCAAAAAGAAGAUAUAACAACUGUAAAUAUAUCCCACAAUUAAGUGGGAUUUAUUCCCAAGCUACAAAGGUGGUUCAACAUUCACAAAUCAAUGUGAUACAAUACAUCAA